CAGUAGCCGCGGGAACACAGAGGGUGCAAGCGUUAAUCGGAAUUACUGGGCGUAAAGCGCGCGUAGGUGGUUCGCCAAGUUGGAUGUGAAAUCCCCGGGCUCAACCUGGGAACUGCAUCCAAAACUGGCGAGCUAGAGUAUGGUAGAGGGUGGUGGAAUUUCCUGUGUAGCGGUGAAAUGCGUAGAUAUAGGAAGGAACAUCAGUGGCGAAGGCGACCACCUGGACUGAUACUGACACUGAGGUGCGAAAGCGUGGGGAGCAAACAGGAUUAGAUACCCCCGUAGUCCCUGUCUCUUACAC
rnacentral:rRNA from 1 species